UACAGAGGGUGCAAGCGUUAAUCGGAAUUACUGGGCGUAAAGCGUGCGCAGGCGGUUUCUUAAGUCAGAUGUGAAAGCCCCGGGCUUAACCUGGGAACUGCGUUUGAAACUGGGAGACUUGAGUGUGGCAGAGGGGGGUGGAAUUCCGACGUGUAGCAGUGAAAUGCGUAGAUAUGUGGAGGAACACCGAUGGCGAAGGCAGCCCCCUGGGUUAACACUGACGCUCAUGCACGAAAGCGUGGGGAGCAAACAGG
rnacentral:rRNA from 1 species